GACGAACGCUGGCGGCGUGCUUAACACAUGCAAGUCGAACGGAAAGGCCUGCUUUCCCUUGUGGAUUGCGGGUACUCGAGUGGCGAACGGGUGAGUAACACGUGAGUGAUCUGCCCCCAACUUGGGUAUAAGCCUGGGAAACUGGGUCUAAUUCCCGAUAGGACUGCAGGGUGGUGCCGGUGGUGGGAAACGGUUUUCUAGUGGUUGGGGUUGAGCUCGCGGCCUGUCAGCUUGUUGGUGGGGUAAUGGCCUACGAAGGCGGCGACGGGUAGCCGGGCUGGGAGGGCGGACGGAGAGAGUGGGACGGCACAUCGGCCCUGAGUCCUGCGGGAGGCAGCAGUGGGGGGUAGCGCACGAGGGGCGGGAGCCAGAGGCAGCGGCGCCGUGUGGGGGAUGACGGCCGGGGGGUGGGGACCUCCGGUCGAACGCGAGGAAGCCACCUGGCUGGAAGGGUGGUGACGGUAGUGGGAGAAGAAGCACCGGCUAACUACGUG
rnacentral:rRNA from 1 species